CGGGACGGGUGAGUAACGCGUGGGUGACCUGCCCCAUACCGGGGGAUAACAGCUGGAAACGGCUGCUAAUACCGCAUAAGCGCACAGAGCUGCAUGGCUCGGUGUGAAAAACUCCGGUGGUAUGGGAUGGGCCCGCGUCUGAUUAGGCAGUUGGCGGGGUAACGGCCCACCAAACCGACGAUCAGUAGCCGGCCUGAGAGGGCGCCGGCCACAUUGGGACUGAGACACGGCCCAA
rnacentral:rRNA from 1 species